UCAGAAACAAAGUCCGAUGUUUUAAGCUGCAAAAUCCUUUUGUAACUUUCACUUAACACUAUGAAAAAUUAACACCAACGCAAGUUUUACCAAGUUUCUGUGUUUGAGUGAGUUUAAAACAUUGGAUUCAAGAUAUUCAAAUUCAUUUCCAUUUUAAAAACCCUGCUAAAACAAUGCUUUCAUAUUUUAAAGCUUGACUCCAGUGAAAAUCAUUUUCAAAGGAAAACAUAAAGUUUCAAAAGCAUUAGGCUUCGAGUGCUCCCCCUAUAAACUGCUGAAACAAUUUAGCGCACAUUAAGCACCAAUAACAACUUCAUAAAUAAUAUCCAAAUAUGAAGAUCAUUCCUCAAAAUCCUUAGAGCACCUAAAAACGUAUCUAAAAGCAAAUAAGUAUGAAACACAGCGAAAAAUUAAAAUCGUGCGAUAAUUGUGCGAAUGGUUUCUAUGCCCAGAAUUGUUCAAA
rnacentral:lncRNA from 1 species